UGGGCGUAAAGCGUUUGUAGGCGGGCGAGUGUGUUUAAUGUUAAAUCUUAAAGCUCAACUUUGAAAUUGCGUUAAAAACUGCUUGUCUUGAGUAUGGUAGGGGUAAAGGGAAUUCCCAGUGUAGCGGUGAAAUGCGUAGAUAUUGGGAAGAACACUAAACAGCGAAGGCACUUUACUAGGCUAAUACUGACGCUGAGAAACGAAAGGUAAGGUAGCGAAACGGAUUAGAUACCCGUGUAGUCUUACCCGUAAACUAUGGACACUAAACGGUAAAUUUUUAAUUUACUGUUAAAGCUAACGCGUUAAGUGUCCCGCCUGGGGAGUAUGCUUGCAAAAGUGAAACUCAAAGGAAUUGACGGGGGCCCGCACAAGCGGUGGAGCAUGUGGUUUAAUUCGACGGUACACGAAGAACCUUACCAGGAUUUGACAUGCUAGAUAGUUGCUUGAAAGAGUAACGUGCCGUAAGGAAUCUAGACACAGGUGGUGCAUGGCUGUCGUCAGUUCGUGUUGUGAAAUGUUGGGUUAAGUCCCGCAACGAACGCAACCCUUGUCUUUAGUUAUUUUCUAAAGAGACUGCCUGUAAUAAACAGGAGGAAGGUAAGGAUGAGGUCAAGUCAUCAUGCCCCUUAUGUCCUGGGCUACACACGUGCUACAAUGGGAAAGACAAUGAGCUGCAAAUCUGUAAAUUUAAGCAAAUCUCUUAAACUUUCUCGUAGUUCGGAUUGUGGGCUGCAACUCGCCCACAUGAAGUUGGAAUCGCUAGUAAUCGCCAGUCAGCUAUAUGGCGGUGAAUCCGUUCCCGGGCCU
rnacentral:rRNA from 1 species